GAUGAACGCUAGCGAUAGGCUUAACACAUGCAAGUCGAGCGACCGGCGCACGGGUGCGUAACGCGUAUGCCACUUGCCUCACAGAGGGGGAUAACCCGUCGAAAGACGGACUAAUACCGCGUACUGUGAGAUAGGCAUGCGUCCCAUUAGCUAGUUGGUGAGGUAACGGCUCACCAAGGCAACGAUGGGUAGGGGAACUGAGAGGUGGAACCCCCACACGUGUACGGCGACACGGACCAGACUCCUAGGGGAGGCAGGAGUGAGGAAGAUUGGGAAAUGGGCGAGAGCCUGAACCAGCCAAGUCGCGGGAAGUAUGAUUGUGUAUGGAUGGUAAACUUCUUUUGUAGGGGAAUAUGUACCCUAAGAAUAAGCAUCGGCUAACUCCGUGCCAGCAGCCGCGGUAAUAC
rnacentral:rRNA from 1 species